rnacentral:rRNA from 1 species
AUUGAACGCUGGCGGCAGGCCUAACACAUGCAAGUCGAGCGGAUGAAGGGAGCUUGCUCCUGGAUUCAGCGGCGGACGGGUGAGUAAUGCCUAGGAAUCUGCCUGGUAGUGGGGGAUAACGUCCGGAAACGGGCGCUAAUACCGCAUACGUCCUGAGGGAGAAAGUGGGGGAUCUUCGGACCUCACGCUAUCAGAUGAGCCUAGGUCGGAUUAGCUAGUUGGUGGGGUAAAGGCCUACCAGGGCGACGAUCCGUAACCGGUCUGAGAGGAUGAUCAGUCACACUGGAACUGAGACACGGUCCAGACUCCUACGGGAGGCAGCAGUGGGGAAUAUUGGACAAUGGGCGAAAGCCUGAUCCAGCCAUGCCGCGUGUGUGAAGAAGGUCUUCGGAUUGUAAAGCACUUUAAGUUGGGAGGAAGGGCAGUAAGUUAAUACCUUGCUGUUUUGACGUUACCAACAGAAUAAGCACCGGCUAACUUCGUG